UACGUAGGGGGCAAGCGUUGUCCGGAAUCAUUGGGCGUAAAGAGCGUGUAGGCGGCCAGAAAAGUCCGCUGUGAAAACUCGAGGCUCAACUUCGAGCUGUCGGUGGAAACUUUCUGGCUAGAGUCCGGAAGAGGAGAAUGGAAUUCCUGGUGUAGCGGUGAAAUGCGUAGAUAUCUGGAGGAACACCGGUGGCGAAGGCGGCAUCCUGGACCGACACUGACGCUGAGGAGCGAAAGCCAGGGGAGCAAACGGG
rnacentral:rRNA from 1 species